rnacentral:rRNA from 1 species
GUCUAUGGCCAUACCACCUUGAACAUGCCUGAUCUCAUCUGAUGUGGGAAGUUAAACAGGGUCAGGCCUGAUUAGUACUUGGAUGGGAGAAGACAGGGAGUGGAAGGGG